AAGACCUUGCGCUUUUGGAGCGGCCGAMGUCUGAUUAGCUUGUUGGUGAGGUAAAAGCUUACCAAGGCUUCGAUCAGUAGCUGGUCUGAGAGGACGGCCAGCCACACUGGGACUGAGACACGGCCCAGACUCCUACGGGAGGCAGCAGUGGGGAAUUUUGGACAAUGGGGGCAACCCUGAUCCAGCCAUGCCGCGUGAGUGAAGAAGGCCUUCGGGUUGUAAAGCUCUUUCAGCCGGAACGAAACGGUUACGGUUAAUACCCGUGACUACUGACGGUACCGGAAGAAGAAGCACCGGCUAACUACGUGCCAGCAGCCGCGGUAAUACGUAGGGUGCGAGCGUUAAUCGGAAUUACUGGGCGUAAAGCGUGCGCAGGUGGUUUUGUAAGUCAGAUGUGAAAUCCCCGGGCUUAACCUGGGAACU
rnacentral:rRNA from 1 species